UACGUAGGGUGCAAGCGUUAAUCGGAAUUACUGGGCGUAAAGCGUGCGCAGGCGGUUUUGUAAGUCUGUCGUGAAAUCCCCGGGCUCAACCUGGGAAUGGCGAUGGAGACUGCAAGGCUAGAGUUUGGCAGAGGGGGGUAGAAUUCCACGUGUAGCAGUGAAAUGCGUAGAUAUGUGGAGGAACACCGAUGGCGAAGGCAGCCCCCCUGGGUCAAAACUGACGCUCAUGACACGAAAGCGUGGGGAGCAAACAGG
rnacentral:rRNA from 1 species